CUGCGUGAUGAAAAAUAUUUUGCUGCGUUCUUUAUGACAGACCAGCCUUCUCUUUUUCAAGAAGGGUGGCAUGGCCUGCUUGAUUAUCAACUACACUUGAUCUGAUA
rnacentral:snoRNA from 1 species